UCCUACGGGAGGCAGCAGUGAGGAAUAUUGGACAAUGGGCGAAAGCCUGAUCCAGCCAUGCCGCGUGUGUGAAGAAGGUCUUCUGAUUUGAAAGCAGUUUUUAUUGGGAAGAAGGGAAUUAAUCUAAUACUUUAGUGUUUUGACUUUUCCGACAGAAUAAGCACCGGUUAACUUCAUGCCCCCCGCCGCUGUAGUACGAACGGUGCUUGCGUUGAUCCGAUUUACGGGGCGUAAGGCUCGCGUAGGUGGUUCGUUUAGUUGGAUGUGAUGGCCCCGGGCUCAACCUGGGAACUGCAUCCUGAACUGGUUAGCUAUAGUACAGGAGAGGGUGGUGCAAUUUGCAGUGUAGAGGUGAAAUGAUUAUAUAUAGAAAGGAACAGCAGUGGGCAACGCGAUGACCUGCACUGAUACUGAAACUGAGGUGCCAAGGCGUGCGGAGCAGAUUAGAUUACAUGCCCUGGUACUCUACGCCGUAUGCGAUGUCAGCUAUGCGUUUGGUUCCUUGAUGACUUAGUGGCGCACUAACUCAUUAAGUUGACCGCCUGGUGAGUACCGACGAAAGGUUAAAACUCUGAUGAAUUGAC
rnacentral:rRNA from 1 species